UUCGCAAUGCCCGAAAGGGUGAACGAGUGACGCCGCGUGCAGGAGGAAGGCCUUCGGGUUGUAAACUGCUGUCAGGGGUUAUGAAGGUAAGCCGUGGAUAAUACGGUUUGCUUGACAAAGGCCCCAGAGGAAGCUCCGGCUAAAUCCGUGCCAGCAGCCGCGGUAAUACGGAUGGAGCAAGCGUUGUUCGGAAUCACUGGGCAUAAAGCGCAUGUAGGCGGCCUUGAGAGUCGGGUGUGAAAUCCCCUGGCCCACCCAGGGAACUGCAUUCGAAACUUCAAGGCUUGAGUGAAGAAGGGGAGAGUGGAACUCCUGGUGGAGCGGUAAAAUGCGUAGAUAUCAGGAGGAACGCCGGUGGAGAAGUCGACUCUCUGGUCUUUUACUGACGCUGAGAUGCGAAAGCUAGGGGAGCAAACGGGAUUAGAUACCCCGGUAGUCCUAGCCGUAAACGAUGGGCACUAAGUAGAGGGGUUUU
rnacentral:rRNA from 1 species